rnacentral:lncRNA from 1 species
ACGCCAUUGCCUUGGGACCAUUGUUGAUGGACCACUUAAACCUCUUCCGUUUCAUUGUGCUACACACAUUGACUUUACAAAUUAAAUACAACACAUGGACAAAUAUUGUACCUGACAUAUAUUAAUUAUCAUAGGUGAUGCAUGCAUCUACUGAUUAUCAAAGGUUCCAUUAAUCAACAUGGACGGAUGCCACACAUGAGUCAGCGCAUUGCAAUGCUGAUUUGGCACAUGAACAAGAC